rnacentral:rRNA from 1 species
AUUGAACGCUGGCGGCAUGCUUUACACAUGCAAGUCGAACGGUAACAGGCCUUCGGGCGCUGACGAGUGGCGAACGGGUGAGUAAUGCAUCGGAACGAGCCCAGUCGGGGGGGAUAACGCAGCGAAAGCUGUGCUAAUACCGCAUACGAUCUGUGGAUGAAAGCGGGGGACCUUCGGGCCUCGCGCGAUUGGAGCGGCCGAUGUCAGAUUAGGUAGUUGGUGGGGUAAAGGCUCACCAAGCCAACGAUCUGUAGCUGGUCUGAGAGGACGACCAGCCACACUGGGACUGAGACACGGCCCAGACUCCUACGGGAGGCAGCAGUGGGGAAUUUUGGACAAUGGGCGCAAGCCUGAUCCAGCAAUGCCGCGUGCAGGAAGAAGGCCUUCGGGUUGUAAACUGCUUUUGUACGGAACGAAACGGUCCUGGUUAAUACCUGGGGCUAAUGACGGUACCGUAAGAAUAAGCACCGGCUAACUACGUGCCAGCCGCCGCGGUAACAC